UCGAGUAGUAUUGCGUGUUGGUUGUCAAGCUUUCUCCUGGCUCCGCUGUUGCCUCCGAUCGGAUUUAUUAUGAAGACGAAGAAGUAUCUAUCUAUCUGUCGCGGAGGUGCCGAUUCUAUUGGAAACCAUUCCGGCGCAGCCACUGAGUGACUCAGAUAUGCAUAUUGAUUUGAUUUCGUCACCAAGCAAGAGCAGGGGGAGGAGGGGGAGGAGGAGCAGGACGGAAGCCUAACUUCCGAAUGCGAGAGAGAGAGAGAGAGAGAGAGAGAGAGAGCACGGGGAUGGCGCCGUUGUAAGUAAGUAAGUAAGUGAGUGAAUGAGUGAGUAAGUAAGUAAGUAAGUAAGUAAGUCCGUUGUUGUUGUAGUACAGCUGAGGAGACGAGGAGGGAGGGAGCGGGGGUUUGUGGAGGGGAGGAGGAGGAGGAGAAUGGUGCGAUCGUCUGCUGGAGGGCUAUCCGCAUUGGCGCAUGGAUACGAUCCUGAGUUGUGUCCUUCCUCCCACGCAGCUUCGGAUGUAUUGGAGCGCUUUUCGUCGUCGGUAAAACCUCGUUCGGUGAUUUCUCUACCCGCGGUGACCAGCGUCCGAGUUUUCUUGUUCAUUCUCGUGGCGUUGAUGUCGGUUUGGGUCUUAUUCCCAAUCUUGACGCGCUCCAAUCAUGAACCGGUUGCUGCGCACUCGUUGCAGUCCGUGCCAAGAAUGUCCUGGACGGCCAACUUGCACUUAGGCCAACCGAACUGGAGGAGCUACACGUUGCGUCAGGCUGCGCAGGCGCUGGCUGUUGAUGGGAUACUCAUUGUGUGCACGGUGAGUCAUCCUUAUAUGCCGUUUCUUAACAAUUGGCUUAUAAGCCUGGCGAAAUACAAUCGUCACCAGGCAGUGCUCAUUAUUGCGGAGGAUUAUACAACUCUUGAUUUUGUGAACUCGAGAUGGCCGGGCCAUUCUGUUCUUAUACCACCAGCUUCUUCAGAGACGACUAGUCUUCGAUUUGGCUCUCAGGGUUUUUUCAAUCUGACUGCGCGAAGGCCCAAAUACCUACUGGAAAUUUUGGAGCUAGGUUACAGCGUCCUGUACAAUGACGUCGAUAUGGUGUGGCUUGCUGAUCCUUUCAGCUAUUUCAAGAAUAACCGUGAAGUCUACAUCAUAGAUGACAUGGCACUGUUGAAAACAGAGUACCAUUCACAUGCUUUACCGCCACCAGGGAAGAAGGGCCGCACGUAUAUCUGCAGCUGCAUGCUUUUUCUGAAGUCUACGGAAGGUGCGAAGCUGCUGAUGCGAACAUGGAUCGAAGAGCUUAAAGAGCGGCAAUGGUCACCGAGUGUGAAGACCAAUGAUCAACCCGCAUUCAAUUGGGCUCUCAAUAAAACAGCAGGCCAGGUUGAUGUUUAUUUGUUACCCCAAGUGGCGUUUCCGUCUGGGGGAUUGUACUUUAAGAACGACAGCUGGCGUAAAGAGACUGAAAACAAACAUGUUAUAGUGCACAACAACUACGUGGUUGGCUUCGACCAGAAGAUCAAACGCUUUCGUGCGCAUAACUUGUGGUUCGUGGAGUUAGAUGCCGGUCUGUCUCCCUUGGCCGAGAAAGGAGGCUGAUAUCAUUCUAUACUUCUAAAGCUUAUUUGGCCGGACUUGGUUCUAUAAAGGGGACAUGCACAAGGAAGUUUGCCAAGGAUAGGGUUUGAAAGCAACGGAUAAUGGCGUCCGUCUCAGACGAAAAUGCUCACAAACUGCACCCCAAAGAUUUGAAUUGCCUGGAUGGCUGCUUCAUUGCUUGGUUGGAGUAUCUACUGUGGAAUUUGGAGGUUGGGGAGUAUCGCAACACCCCCUCAUCUAGGUCACGUGAAUAAUGAUUCUUCCUCGAAUACUGCUUAAUAUUGCAACUCAAAGUUCACUAAGGUCCAUUAUUAAGGUCCUGAUUCAACAGCCGAGAAACAGGUUAACAGGAAUCGGUCAACAAACAAUACGAGAAAAAUACAAAGUAAUCUAGCUGACGUUCUUGAGUAGGUGAGCAAAUCCACAAUCGUCCUACUUUUUCUUUCCGAUUUCUUUCAUGUUACGAGCUCAUUUGUAUGAACAUUGCAUACAAAUGCCGUCAAUGCCAAUGUUUAUGACCCGCUUCAGGCAGCGUGGUAGAUUCCCACGUUGAGGAGGAGCGAAGUGGUUAUUUUCUGUCCGGAGUUGCAAGGUGUUGGACUUUUCAACAUUUAAUAAGAAGUUUAAAAUCACAUCAGCUUCUCACCUUCAUUGAACGUAACAGGUUGCUUUCUAGUCUUCCAUUUUACCCGCGAGUGUGACAACUAGUACAAGAGACUGAGAAAAAAUGCAGGCAGCUUUGGAGAGCAAUCCUAUAUCGAUGUACUCAUUACAUAUUCAAGGUUGCGUUAUAAUGUUCUAAUCACUUUCUGAUUUUACUGAAAACAACAUUUUUUUUAAA